rnacentral:rRNA from 1 species
CCUACGGGAGGCAGCAGUGAGGAAUAUUGGUCAAUGGGAGAGAUCCUGAACCAGCCAAGCCGCGUGAGGGAAGACGGCCCUAUGGGUUGUAAACCUCUUUUGUCAGGGAACAAAGGCGGGGACGUGUCACCGGAUGAGUGUACCUGAAGAAAAAGCAUCGGUUAACUCCGUGCCAGCAGCCGCGGUAAUACGGAGGAUGCGAGCGUUAUCCGGAUUCUUUGUGUUUAAAGGGUGCGCAGGCGGUCUGUUAAGUCCGCGGUCAUAGUCCGGGGCUUAACCCAGGCCCGCCGUUGAAACUGGCAGUCUCGAGUUGGAGAGAAGUAUGCGGAAUGCGCGGUGUAGCGGUGAAAUGCAUAGAUAUCGCGCAGAACUCCGAUUGCGAAGGCAGCAUGCCGGCUCCACACUGACGCUGAGGCACGAAAGCGUGGGUAUCGAACAGGAUUAGAUACCCGAGUAGUC